rnacentral:miRNA from 1 species
AGACAAUGAUGGAAGGGAGAAGAAGGGAAGCAGACAGAGAGAGACACAAGCAGAACAGAAAGGCUAGCCUUUCUGUUCUGCUUUCUGUUCUGCUUGUGUCUCUCUCUGUCUGCUUCCCUUCUUCUCCCUUCCAUCAUCAUCUC